rnacentral:rRNA from 1 species
AACGUAGGACGCAAGCGUUAUCCGGAGUUACUGGGCGUAAAGCGCGGGCAGGCGGUCGUUCAAGUCUGAUGUGAAAGCACUCUGCUCAACAGAGUGAUGCCAUUGGAAACUAGCCGACUGGAGUCUGGCAGAGGUAGGCGGAAUUCCGGGUGGAGUGGUGAAAUGCGUAGAGAUCCGGAGGAACACCAGAGGCGAAGGCGGCCUACUGGGCCAGUACUGACGCUGAGCCGCGAAAGCCAGGGGAGCGAACGGG